UACAGAGGUCCCAAGCGUUGUUCGGAUUCACUGGGCGUAAAGGGUGCGUAGGUGGUGAGGUAAGUCGGAUGUGAAAGCUCGGAGCUCAACUCCGAAAUGGCAUUGGAAACUACCUUGCUCGAGGGUUGGAGGGGGGACUGGAAUACUUGGUGUAGCAGUGAAAUGCGUAGAGAUCCGGAGGAACACCGAGGGCGAAGGCAGUGUCCUGGCUGGCGACUGACGCUGAGGAGCGAAAGCGUGGGGAGCAAACAGG
rnacentral:rRNA from 1 species